rnacentral:rRNA from 1 species
CAGGUGCUGCAUAGCUGUCGUCAGCUCGUGCCGUGAGGUGUUGGGUUAAGUCCCACAACGAGCGCAACCCUUGUUGCCAGUUACAAGUAUCUGGCGAGACUGCCGGCGUAUAACCGGAGGAAGGUAGGGAUGACGUCAAGUCAGCAUGGCCUUUAUAUCCAGGGCUACACACACGCUACAAUGGCCGGUACAGAGGGCAGCGAAGCCGCGAGGCGGAGCCAAUCCCAGAAAGCCGGUCUCAGUUCAGAUUGCAGGCUGCAACUCGACUCCAUGAAGUUGGAAUCGCUAGUAAUCGUGGAUCAGCAUGCCACGGUGAAUACGUUCCCGGGCCUU